rnacentral:rRNA from 1 species
AUUGAACGCUGGCGGCAGGCCUAACACAUGCAAGUCGAACGAGUGGCGGACGGGUGAGUAAUGGCUGGGAAACUGCCUGAUGGAGGGGGAUAACUACUGGAAACGGUAGCUAAUACCGCAUACCAUCAGAUGUGCCCAGAUGGGAUUGGCUUGUUGGGGGGGUAAAGGCUACACAAGGCCACGAUCCCUAGCUGGGAUUAGGGGAUGACCAGCCAAACUGGAACUGAGACACGGUCCAGACUCCUCCGUGAGGCAGCAGUGGGGAAUAUUGCACAAUGGGCGCAAGCCUGAUGCAGCCAUGCCGCGUGUAUGAAGAAGGCCUUCGGGUUGUAAAGUACUUUCAGCGGGGAGGCGUUACCCGCAGAAGAAGCACCGGCUAACUCCGUGCCAGCAGCCGCGGUAAUUC